UGGGGAAUAUUGCACAAUGGAGGGAACUCUGAUGCAGCGACGCCGCGUGAACGAAGAAGGCUUUCGAGUCGUAAAGUUCUUUUAUAUGGGAAGAUAAUGACGGUACCAUAAGAAAAAGCCCCGGCUAACUACGUGCCAGCAGCCGCGGUAAUACGUAGGGGGCUAGCGUUGUCCGGAAUCACUGGGCGUAAAGGGUUCGCAGGCGGAAAUGCAAGUCAGGUGUAAAAGGCAGUAGCUUAACUACUGUAAGCAUUUGAAACUGCAUAUCUUGAGAAGAGUAGAGGUAAGUGGAAUUUUUAGUGUAGCGGUGAAAUGCGUAGAUAUUAGGAAGAAUACCGGUGGCGAAGGCGACUUGCUGGACACAAACUGACGCUGAGGAACGAAAGCGUGGGUAGCAAACAGG
rnacentral:rRNA from 1 species